rnacentral:rRNA from 1 species
AUUGAACGCUGGCGGCAUGCUUUACACCUGCAAGUCGAACGGUAACAGGCCGCAAGGUGCUGACGAGUGGCGAACGGGCGAGUAAUGCAUCGGAACGUGCCCAGUCGUGGGGGCUAACGCAGCGAAAGCUGCGCUAAUACCGCAUACGAGCGAUGGAUGAAAGCGGGGGACCGCAAGGCCGCGCGCGAUGGGAGCGGCCGGUGGCAGAUUGGGUAGUUGGUGGGGUAAAGGCUCACCCAGCCAACGAUCUGUAGCUGUUCUGAGAGGACGACCAGCCACACUGGGACUGAGACACGGCCCAGACUCCUACGGGAGGCAGCAGUGGGGAAUUUUGGACAAUGGGCGCAAGCCUGAUCCAGCAAUGCCGCGUGCAGGAAGAAGGCCUUCGGGUUGUAAACUGCUUUUGUACGGAACGAAACGGCUCUGGUUAAUACCUGGGGCUAAUGACGGUGCCGUAAGAAUAAGCACCGGCUAACUACGUGCCAGCCGCCGCGGUAACAC